rnacentral:rRNA from 1 species
ACGAACGCUGGCGGCGUGGAUAAGACAUGCAAGUCGGACGGGAUUACUUUUGGUAGCAAUACCGAAAGUGAUCCAGUGGCGAACGGGUGCGUAACACGUGGGCAAUCUACCGAGAAGUGGGGGAUAGCUCGCCGAAAGGCGAAUUAAUACCGCAUGUGAUCAGAGGCGACAUCGCUUCGAAAUCAAAGGUGGCGCAAGCUACCGCUUUUUGAGGAGCCCGCGGCCUAUCAGCUUGUUGGUGAGGUAACGGCUCACCAAGGCAUUGACGGGUAGCUGGUCUGAGAGGACGACCAGUCACACUGGGACUGAGACACGGCCCAGACACCUACGGGUGGCAGCAGUCGAGAAUUUUUCUCAAUGGGGGAAACCCUGAAGGAGCGACGCCGCGUGGAGGAUGAAGGUCUUCGGAUUGUAAACUCCUGUCAUUUGGGAACAAGGUGUGCGCGUUAACUGCGCGCGCAUUGAUAGUACCAGAAGAGGAAGAGACGGCUAACUCUGUGCCAGCAGCCGCGGUAAUACAGAGGUCUCAAGCGUUGUUCGGAUUCAUUGGGCGUAAAGGGUGCGUAGGCGGCGCGGUAAGUCGGGUGUGAAAUUUCGAGGCUUAACUUCGAAACUGCAUUCGAUACUGCCGUGCUUGAGGACUGGAGAGGAGACUGGAAUUUACGGUGUAGCGGUGAAAUGCGUUGAUAUCGUAAGGAAGACCAGUGGCGAAGGCGGGUCUCUGGACAGUUCCUGACGCUGAGGCACGAAGGCCAGGGGAGCAAACGGGAUUAGAUACCCCGGUAGUCCUGGCAAUAAACGGUGCACGUUUGGUGUGGGAGGAUUCGACCCCUUCUGCGCCGGAGCUAACGCGUUAAACGUGCCGCCUGGGGAGUACGGUCGCAAGAUUAAAACUCAAAGAAAUUGACGGGGGCCCGCACAAGCGGUGGAGUAUGUGGCUUAAUUCGAUGCAACGCGAAGAACCUUACCUGGCCUUGACAUGCAUCUCUAAGCUGGUGAAAGCCAGUGAGUCCCGAAAGGGACAAUUUGCACAGGUGCUGCAUGGCUGUCGUCAGCUCGUGUCGUGAGAUGUUGGGUUAAGUCCCGCAACGAGCGCAACCCUUAUCAAUAGUUGCCAGCGGUUCGGCCGGGCACUCUAUUGAGACUGCCGUUGACAAAACGGAGGAAGGUGGGGAUGACGUCAAGUCCUCAUGGCCUUUAUGUCCAGGGCUACACACGUGCUACAAUGGCGAGUACAAAGCGCUGCAAACCUGCAAAGGGGAGCCAAUCGCAAAAAGCUCGUCUCAGUUCGGAUUGGAGUCUGCAACUCGACUCCAUGAAGCUGGAAUCGCUAGUAAUCGCAGAUCAGCACGCUGCGGUGAAUACGUUCCCNGGGU